rnacentral:lncRNA from 1 species
GCGGUGUAGAAAAGAUUUGGAUUCAUUCAGGCACAAAAGUAUUUUCAGUCAUACAUAAUAAAUCUGGAUCCUUUCAACCAUGAAGGUGGCUAUAGCUAUGUAGAAAAGAUUUGGAUCUAGGUCCAAUAGCAACUCUGACUAACCAGAGGGCCAAGACAAGAGCAAGUUGAUCUCAUUUGCAGCAACUUCUGCAAGGUGACCUAAAAGAAGGCAAAAACCAAACUCUCAGAGGGCAUAGGUCUGAAAACUGAUCUUAAGCCAAAUUAUUGUGACUC